CGGGAAGUGGCGCAGCUUGGUAGCGCACCUGCUUUGGGAGCAGGGGGUCGCGGGUUCAAGUCCCGCCUUCCCGA
rnacentral:tRNA from 1 species